GAAGAGACUGAGCAUCGCGCUGGAGAUCCUGACGCGGUCGUGACUCCUCUUCCUCGACGAGCCCACCACCGGGCUCGACAACGCAGCCACCUUCUUCGUGGUGGAGACGCUGAAGCACAUCGUGGUGGACAACAACAAGACCAUUGUCUCCUCCAUCCACCAGCCCAGCAGCGAGGUCUUCAGCCUCUUCGAUGACCUCUGCCUCUGAUUUGGCGGAGAGGUCGUCCUCUUUGGAGAUGCUAAGUUGGCUACCCAGUUUUUCGCAGAUGUUCGAAUUUUUUUGACAUUUUCCCCUCAAUCUCGCUCUUGCUUUCGUUUGGAAGUUGAGCGCUAAAGAUGAUCAGAUCGCCCUGAAUGGCUGUGAUUGUUGAAGAUAGGAUAACACGCGCUUGUAAUCAACGCUUUCGAUGUCGGCGACUUUCACACCGCUUCCUCCCUCUUCUCCACCAUGCGCCAUCAAGGCGACGCCAACCUCAACCAUUACACGCUUCCCCUCCUCAACUGUGCCUCGGAGAAUCAGAUUAAGCUCUGAGAAACCUUCCAUUCCCUCGCUAUCAGGAUUGGUCUCGCAGGUGAUGUCUAUUUGUGCAACACCAUGAUGGAGGUGUACGCUAGGAAUGGUCGAGUCCCCUUGGCCCGCCGGCUGUUCGAAGAAAUGCCUCUUAGGGAUGUGGUAACUUGGACGUCCUUGUUAUCCAGCUAUGUUAGCGCGGGAGACUCUCCCGAGGCCUUCCACUUGUUCUGCCAAAUGCGAGCGGAGGGUCUUGAGGUGAAUCAAGUCACAAUGGCGGUCUUGCUUCGAGCAUGCUAUGGUUCCGAAGACAAGGUCGCAGGGUGCCAACUACAAGCAUUUGCGAACAAGGCAGGCCUCCAAAGUCAUGAGUUGCUUCAAAAUUCAAUUUUGAGCAUGUUCAGUAGAUUGGCUUGCUUCGAAGAGGUCAUGAAGUUUGUCAUCAUUCAAAACAGGAGCAUUGCCUCUUGGAAUAUCCUCCUAUCAUCCUACUCUUUCAUAGGGGAUGUUUCCAGAGUAGUCAAGUGCUAUAGGAAGAUGAGACUAGAGGUGACUCCUAGCAAUGAGACUCUAACUUUGCCCAUCUCUGCAUUCGCCAAGUGUGAGCAUCUCCCUGGUGGAAGAGAGGUACAUUGCAAUGCCAUCAAAACUUGACAGAUUGACUCAGUUCUACGUGCCACUCUCGUCGAUUUUUAUACUAAAUGUGGUGAA